GUUUUAUGUAGUGUAGUGGUUAUGACGUGCGCCUAACACGCGCAAUGUCCCCGGUUCGAGUCCGGGCGAAAACA